GAUGAACGCUAGCGGCAGGCCUAACACAUGCAAGUCGAGGGGUAUAGUUCUUCGGAACUAGAGACCGGCGCACGGGUGCGUAACGCGUAUGCAAUCUACCUUUUACAGGGGAAUACCCCAGAGAAAUUUGGAUUAAUGCCCCAUAGUGUUAUAGAAUCGCAUGGUUUUAUAACUAAAGUUCCAACGGUAAAAGAUGAGCAUGCGUCCCAUUAGUUAGUUGGUAAGGUAACGGCUUACCAAGACAAUGAUGGGUAGGGGUCCUGAGAGGGAGAUCCCCCACACUGGUACUGAGACACGGACCAGACUCCUACGGGAGGCAGCAGUGAGGAAUAUUGGACAAUGGGCGCAAGCCUGAUCCAGCCAUGCCGCGUGCAGGAAGACGGUCCUAUGGAUUGUAAACUGCUUUUGUACAGGAAGAAACACUCCCUCGUGAGGGAGCUUGACGGUACUGUAAGAAUAAGGAUCGGCUAACUCCGUG
rnacentral:rRNA from 1 species